CUCCUCCACACGUCUCUUGAUCUUCACCAGACUUGAAGAACCUGUAGUUCUUAGAGCUGGAGCUAUGGCUCUUCUGAAGACUGUCCCUGGUGCCUGGCAGCAGCAUCUUCCAAAAACCACAAGUGUUCACUGACAGUCUUACAGAUGACAACUGAAGUUACCAUUCUGGGCAAGAAG